UAUAAAUGUACCAUGCAAACAAAGUAUUCAGACACCAAUGUCAAUCUAUGUUUUUCUUAUAUAAUUUAACCACCAUAUACAUCUGAGUUUGAAAUUAUGAGGCUGUAGCUGUGCUUGGAGAACGACAGGCGAGAUACUGUAUCUGUUGGUACUGGUGGUGGGGAUGUUCCGCCUGGCGCUAUUAUUGGGAGCCCUACCGUUUAUUAUAUCACUAGAUGUAGGGCCGGAUGGACAGACGAAAACGGCGACCGAAACUGCAACAA